CCUCUAUCUUGGCGUCUCUGUGUGUAUCUGUACACAGUUUGUACGUAUUAUUGGAGGAAGAUUAAUCCAUGCUGAAAAGCCUUCGGUGCCGGGGCCUAUCAUUGCCCCACUGCCAUCCUCUAACAGCAUUACAAGA